rnacentral:lncRNA from 1 species
GUGGGAGAAAGGACCACGUGAGCUUGUGAGGGACCAUCGCCAGCCACCACCCACAUCCUGCUCUCCGCACGCAUGGAAGANNNNNNNNNNNNNNNNNNNNNNNNNNNNNNNNNNNNNNNNNNNNNNNNNNNNNNNNNNNNNNNNNNNNNNNNNNNNNNNNNNNNNNNNNNNNNNNNNNNACUGAGAGGCCCUGGACACUCCAGGGGCGGGUACGUGCUGCGGUCCUGAUGUGACAUUUGACAGCUUUCUGCUCUAGGUAUUCUGCGUCUCAGGUGGCCGCUUCUCAGACCAGCUCUGCACUCUGGAUUCUUCUCUCAGAUUCCACAUCAACGAGCUUCAUUUCAAAAUGGGCCAUCUUUUACCCCAGUCCUCAUGUCCUGUUUUGCUGUCCAUUCAUUCAUCCAUCCAUUCAGCGUAACUACGGAGUGCUUCCUCUGCUGGUCAAACCUAUGUCGCGCAUGAAGCUGGACCUAAGUCGUGGGCCCACCAGGCACAUAGUUGGCGAUGACAGAGGACAUGGUGACACCAGCCUGCAAGUGAGCCUCCCAGCUGACAUGUGGAUGGGUGCGAAGGAGGACUGGAGCCUUGGAGAGCCAAUGCUCUCAUGUUUACUGCCCCGGCUUUAUCCGAGAUUGACCAGAUGUCCAGCCACAGGAAGUCAGCAAGUGCUUUCUUUAGUCUUCUUUCCAAAGGGUCGGCAGGGAUGUUUGAGGACCUCCUGGUGGGUGUGGGAGGCACCAACAAGCCUAAGGCCUCAGAUAUUUUGAUACAGGCUUGAGGCUCCCCACUCCCCACAAUCCCACACUGCUGAGAAUCACUCUGAAUAGCGAUGUUCCUCACAGGGACGCGAUGUGCUUGUGAACGACUCAGGGGCAGAAGAAAGGGAGAGGAAACAUUGUCUGCCGGCUUUCAUUCAUUCACACAUUCAUUUGUCUCUGAAACACCUAUUGAGCCCCUGCUAGGUGUCUGGCUCUCUUGGGCACUGGAAUAUUGACAGGAAGAGCAGGCUAAGAGGAUGCACCUGUCGGCAUCCUUGGGAAGCUUGCCAUCAAUGGGAGCCUGUGAGAAUCUGAUCAAAGGGCAAAGGGGGCAACAACCCCUCUGUUAACUUUGGAAGCUGUCGCUGUCUCUCUGGGGACCCAACUCCACAUAAGGUGCUUGAAGUCAGGAGUGUUCAUGGUGCCUCCACCAGAGAUGCUUCACUCAUUUGACCAGAGAUAGGUGCUCAGAAACCUGGGCUGUGAGUUUAAUUUUCAGAGAUUAACAUGUGACUGAUUAGAAAAACAUCCAGGGGCAGGCAUCUUGCAGAUUAUGUCCUUGCUUCUGGGCUCAGGUAACCCUGGUGGCUCAGCUGAUAGAGCAUUUCCCGCAAUGCGGCAGACCCAGCUUCAGUCCCUGGGUGGGGAAGAUUCCCUGGAGAAGGGAAUAGCAAUCCACUCCAGUAUUCUUGCCUGGAGAGUUCCAUGGACAGAGGAGCCNNNUGGGCUACAGUCCAUGGGGUUGCAAAGAGUCAGACAUGACUGAAUGACUAUCACUUUCGCUUUUGAACCCUACACACACUGAGAAAAUAAACAACUCAAGUGCAAGUUAUAGAGGUGAACUGAAGGUUAGAGUGAAGUAUAUCCAGGAAAGUUGGCAGAUGCAAAGAGGCUUCCCCAAAUGGUGUUGGUAUUGAUACCCCUGCUCAGAGUCUAGGGUCUGCCUCCAGCCUCAUGUGCUCAAAGCAUGGAUCAAGAGCAGAUCCGAUGCUUAGAAAAGAUUUGCUCUAGCCAAAUCUAUAGGCUUGUGAAUCAACUCAGAAUGCCAUUUCCUUGAUUUAUCCUGAAAAACACAACUGUCGUCCAAGUAAAACAUGUGGUAAUGGCCUGUAUCUGUCUCUUUCUAUAGAACAAUCUUUAAGGCAGUUGUCAACAGUAGAUCAUUUGGUGAGUUUGAAAUCAGAACAAAGGGACCUGGUUAGAUGGCUUUGCUAUUUAAUAACAUUAAAUUGUGAGAACCUGGUCAACCACAGUUAUAUGUAAAAUACAUGGUCACUGGCUCUGAUGGACUUGAAAUGGGCAGGGCAUCACUCCUGAACACACCUUGGGUAGGGGUUGCCAACCCCAUUUCUGAUGGCCUAUUCUUGCUUCAUCUAUGUGAUGGCUUUCAGUCCUGUCUUAUAGGUUUGAGAGUCAUUUUAUUUCUUUCAAGAGACUUUGUGUCUCUCCACUAUGGUUCUUAGAACUUAUGGUUUAACUUAUAAUGACAACCUUAUAUCCUUUUGAACAUUUUGUCCACAGUUCAAUUCAGUCGUGUCCAACUCUUUGUGACCCUAUGGAUUGUAGCACACCAGGCUUCCCUGUCCAUCACCAAUUCCUGGAGCUUGCUCA